GAGGAGGAGGAGGAGGAGGAGGAGGAGGAGGAGGAGGAAGGGCCGUGAGGGAGGAACGCGCACGGAGCCGGCGGCAGCUCGGGCGGCCCCUCGGCUACCCCCAGCGGCCGGGGGGAAGAUGGCGACGCUGGGAGGCGAGCCGCAGCCCUUCCCCGCCGCCGUUUUGGCGGCGGGGGGCGGCGGUGGUGGCGGUGCCGGGGGGGUGUCGCUGGCCCUGCAGGCGCCGCUGAGCCGCGGCCUGGAGCGGGCGCUGGAGGAGGCUGCGCACCGCGGGGGGCUGAGCCUGAGCGGCAGGAAGCUGAAGGAGUUCCCCCGCAGCGCCGCCGCGCUCAGCCACGACCUCAGCGACACGGUGCGGGCAGAUCUAUCCAAGAACAGAUUAACAGAGGUUCCUACGGAGUUGUGCCAUUUUGUGUCACUGGAAACACUAAAUCUAUACCACAAUUGUAUUAAAGUUAUACCAGAUGCAAUAGUGAACUUACAAAUGCUAACUUACUUAAAUUUGAGUCGAAAUCAGCUUUCUUCUCUGCCAGCUUGCCUGUGUGGUCUUCCUCUAAAAGUCUUAAUUGCAAGUAACAAUAAGCUAGGUUCCCUUCCAGAAGAGAUAGGUCAGCUAAAACAGUUAAUGGAACUGGAUGUCAGCUGUAAUGAAAUCACAGCUUUGCCACAACAGAUAGGCCAGCUGAAAUCUUUAAAAGAACUGAAUGUCAGAAGAAAUUACCUCGAAGUUUUACCACCAGAACUAGUGCAGCUUCCCUUGGUAAAGUUCGACUUCUCUUGCAAUAAAGUGCUUGUGAUUCCCAUCUGUUUUAGAAAGAUGGUGCAGUUACAAGUAUUACUGCUUGACAACAAUCCUUUGCAGUCUCCACCAGCACAAAUUUGUACAAAGGGUAAGGUGCAUAUAUUCAAAUAUCUGACUGUACAGGCCUGCCAGAUUAAAACAGCAGACUCUCUGUAUCUUAAUGCCAUAGAACAGCCGCAUUUGCAACAACCUGUGGAAGAGAGCAUUGAUGACAUCUAUCCAAAUAAAAAGGACUCAGAUUCAGGUGUUGGUAGUGAUAAUGGCGAUAAACGUUUGUCAGCAACAGAGCCAUCUGAUGAAGAUACUAUCAGCUUUAAUGUUCCAAUGUCUGACAUUGUAGAAGAAGAUCAGGUUGUAAAGGAAGAUUCAGGUCACCACGCUAACUCAAGAAAAGUGGAAUUCCGUCAGGGAUCUUCUCACUUGAUUGUCAACGAUAAGUCAAGAGAAACAGGAAAUCAUUUUGAUGAAUCGGAUGCUCUUACUACUGAAUUUAUGAGUUACAUUAAGAGCAGAGCAGCGGAGUGUGAUGAGUUAUUGAGAAUAGAAGAGGAUGCACAAUGGCAAACAGAGGAAAUAAUAAAUCUAUCAGAAGAACAAACUAUUGAUAUAGCAAUGAUAGAUCAACUAAGAGAAGCAGUAGAUUUAUUACAAGAUCCCAACAGAUUAAGCAUGGAUAUUUCAGAGAGCAGUGAUGUGAAUCUGUAUCCCAUGGAACCAGCAACAGCUUUAGAAUUUCAGGAGUCUACAGUAAACGGUCAAAUGCAGAUGGAGAUGUCUUCCCUUGGUCAGAAAGAAAAUGCUGAAGAGGAAUUAGAAUUUCAGAGGAGGAGGGAAUUCAUAAUGGAGAAAGCCAAGAGUGAAGUGAGAACAUGUGAACAGGGUGAAAAAUGGUCAUUGAGUCAGAAUGAUCUAAUUGUUUGGAAUACGAGUGGCCAAACCUCUCACAAUGAGAACAAAGAUAAAAGUCCAACGUCUCCCACUGCAAACAACGUGAUCCCUUUUGGCCUGAAGCCACGAUCAGACCCAUCCCUCAGUCUUCCUCCUAUCUCCUUCAACACACUUACACAGGCACAAACAUGGGACAACUUUAGCUACAGUAUACCAUCUGAAGGAGACAGUGACAAUGUGUUCUUAAGACCACAAAGAAAUUUGGAAUCAAUAGACCCGCAAUUUACAAUCCGAAGGAAAAUGGAGCAGAUGAGAGAAGAGAGAGAGCUUGUGGAACAGCUGCGUGAGAACAUUGAAACAAGACUAAAGAUUUGUUUGCCUGAAGACUUGGGGUCUGCUCUGAUGGAUGGUGUAGUUCUCUGCCAUUUAGUAAAUCACGUUCGACCUCGUUCAGUAGCAAGUAUUCAUGUACCUUCACCAGCAGUACCUAAACUUAGCAUGGCCAAAUGCAGGAGAAAUGUUGAAAACUUUCUGGAUGCAUGUAGAAAACUGGGGAUACCAGAGGCUGACCUCUGCUCUCCGUAUGACAUCCUGCAGUCGGAUAUUCGUCACAUUCGAAAGACUGUUGACACUCUGCUCGCCCUCGGGGAGAAAACCCCACAAUCAACUUCUACCUUUCGCUCCUGGGAUCUAAUAGGCUUUUGUCUUUUCCACAUACUUUUUAUAGUCUUGAUGUUUAUAACUUAUCACUGGAAUGUGCUAACAGCAUAACCUGUUCGCAUGUGCACACAAACUUUCUGCUUUGUCUCUGACAAAUUACAGGAGAAGCUCUGCCUACCACAUCACAUCCUAGAAGAAAAGGGCUUGGUAAAAGUGAGCAUAACAGUUCAAGCCUUGCUAGAUGUAACCACAGUGAAACAAGCUUUAUUCACAUGAAACUGUCCCUGCUGUUACCAGCUCCACUGUGCCAUCAAAGAACGAAAUCACUGCCCAUCUUUUCAAACUGCAUUGAAAAAACAGUGCUCCGAGAGUAUUCUUAACACUUCUGAUUUUAAAAUAAUCUUUGAGACUGUACACGUGCGUCGAACUUCAAACCUGAAACUAAACAGAAACAUUUUGUAGAGCAAAUUGGCGCUUCACUGCUUUUAUAGUUCACUUUGUACAGUACUUAAACAGCCACCUCUCUGCCACUUAUAAAUGCGUGGAGUACACAGCUGUCUUGCAGCAAGAUACCUUCGUAUUGCUAAACUAAGAAUCAGUGUAAUCAUUUCUGGGGGGAGGGAGAGUAAAUCAGACUUGUACCAUGUUAGGUUUUUCUGCAGUUGCUUCAGGCUAUUGCCUUUUAAAAAAAAUAUCCAGGCAUAAAAUAUUUAUAUAAAUAUUAUUUAUUAGUGAGUUGUUAUUCAUCCUUUGGAUGAAAAAUGUAAAUUAGGAAACUGUAUUUUAUUACUGCUUUUUUGUGGUUAAACACUUUAUUUUAAUAUAAAUAUUUAGUUAUUUUUUAUUCAACUUGGUGUGCAGUAGCUCUAGAUCUCCAUAAAUUGUAUUUUCUAAUAUGUAAGAUAAAAAACCAAUCAAAAUAGGUGCUUUUAUUAAAAGAACAGCUAGCUGGAAUGGCAUUCUUUAUUUUUCAAUUAGUGGAACAUUGGUAACAGUUUGUCUGCAUUCCGUUCAGUUUCCGACAUUCCAGUAGCACUUCUCCCCCAGGAGGCUCAAUUGGCUGAAACCGAGAGCACACCCAUUUUACUUGUAUAUAGAUGUUAAAAGAAAAAAAAGGAAAGACAUAAACUUGAAAAAGAAAUGUGAACAAAUAUUUUUGAUCGCUUAUUUUACUAUGCACAAGACAUUUAACUUUUGCCACAACAGAAUGAUGUGCAUUAGGAUCAUGUGUCUUGAAAUACGAUUUUUGCACUGUAACUUGACUUCUUGUAAAGACUACAGCACUACGGAACGAGUAACGAGACAUAGCACAAGAACGUUAACAAGGCUGACCAGGUAGCCCGAAAAUACCAACCAACCAACCUUCGAUAAAUGUGUCGAUAGGAGAUAAAAUUGCCAAAGGCAGUCUUAAAGACCCGAUCUCCCAGAUACAAGAAGCUGCUGGGUACAGUGCUUCUCCGUGUGAUCAUGGCCGAGCCCCGUAGCUUCCCAGUGAGUUAAGCACAGCGUUCUGUAGUGAAUGUUUGCAGGAUCUGACCUCUAAUCCCACAUCAGCAAUAGGAAAUAAGGUUCUUUUUCUUAUUUACUACUUAAAAUUUUGGAAGAGCUUUCUUAAAAGCAGAACUUAUUAUUGAAACAUCACAUGUUGUAGGUGUAAAAGUUCCAGCGCAGUGAUUAUCACAGCAGCUGGAGCAUCCAUUUUUCUUUGGUCUGAAAAGCUAAAAGGCGUAACUUGAGCAAGCAGGACAGGAAAGCUGCACGUGAUGAAAAGGCUAGCUGGUAGGGGGUCACUGUUGCAUAUAAGCAAGCAGUUUGAAAGGCAUUGAUGACAAAAAUGAGGCAAUGUGGUGGGAGAACUAAAUAGCAAGAGAAUGUGGAGCCAACCAUUGUAUAAAGACUUUCUGGAAGAAAGAGCGAUGCGUACUUGUCACGACUGCAUAUCUAGGCGAAGGUACACGCAUGUUCACACAAUGCAUUUAAAACCACCAGUAUUCCCAUAGCAGAUUGUUUAGUCUUUAAUACAGUAUUUGAAUGCAGACUGUGCAUUUUAACACCACAAAUUGCCAAUUUCCUGGUUUGCAUUGAGAGCAACGCGCUAGGAGGAGAAAAGUGGACUUGCAGACAGUGAGACAGGGAAUAGCCAGUCACUUCAACCAAAGCAAAGCGUUUCUUUUUGUAGAGGGAACAUUGACUUAAAUUAUAAUUUUGAUUGGCAGCUAGCAUAUUGUUUCCUAUAAAAAUGUACUGUGCACUUUAACACUAAAUUAAAAAUGUAUUUUAAUAUUUUACAGAGAGCUGCACAAAUAUCUGUUUUGUCAAAAAGCAUGAGCAAUGUAAAGAAAGUAAGUUUUCAAGUUAGAGUUUAUCAAAUUUUAAAAAGCAUUCAAAGAUGGAGUAUAAAAAUAGGAUUAUUGAUUUCUGCAUCUUGAGGGAUAAAAUGCAGGUUUCCUGAGUAUUUUUUUACAAUGUAUAUAUUGCAACAUGAAGCUUUGUAAUUAUUAUUUUGACAAAUCUUGGUUUUUCAUAAUUAAAACUUUGUUUUUCUCCUGAUAGUGUCUUUCAGUAUUUGCUUAAAGUUGGCUGUAAAUAGCUCUGAAUAUUUUGUAAUACAGCUUUUUUUAUGCAGUCUUAACCUGUAUGGCUAAAGAGAGAAUCUUCAUGGAUCUUUGUACACUAUUUACAUGUGCAAUAAAACAUGCAUGGCAAAUCCAUAAUACCAUAAGCAGUGAACAUAAUGUAUAUAGGAAAUCUUUACUGUAGUUACAAUUAAACUCUAUUAUUUGUAGAAAC